rnacentral:tRNA from 1 species
AGCUUUAUAGUCAAUAUAUGAUAUUAGACUGCAAUUCUAAAGUAGGUAUUCACCUAAAGCUU